rnacentral:rRNA from 1 species
UACAGAGGGUGCAAGCGUUAAUCGGAAUUACUGGGCGUAAAGCGUGCGCAGGCGGUUUUGUAAGUUUGUCGUGAAAUCCCCGGGCUCAACCUGGGAAUUGCGAUGAAGACUGCAAGGCUAGAAUCUGGCAGAGGGGGGUAGAAUUCCACGUGUGAGCAGUGAAAUGACGUAGAGAUGUGGAGGAACACCGAUGGCGAAGGCAGCCCCCUGGGUCAAGAUUG